UACGUAGGGGGCGAGCGUUGUCCGGAUUCAUUGGGCGUAAAGCGCGCGUAGGCGGCUUCGCAAGUCGGCCGUGAAAUCUCCGGGCUCAACUCGGAGGGGUCGGGCGAGACUGCGAGGCUCGAGGUGGGCAGAGGGCAGUGGAAUUCCGGGUGUAGUGGUGGAAUGCGUAGAGAUCCGGAGGAACACCAGUGGCGAAGGCGGCUGCCUGGGCCUUACCUGACGCUGAGACGCGAAAGCUAGGGG
rnacentral:rRNA from 1 species